GACGAACGCUGGCGGCGUGCUUAACACAUGCAAGUCGAACGGAAAGGCCCUGCUUUUGUGGGGUGCUCGAGUGGCGAACGGGUGAGUAACACGUGAGUAACCUGCCCUUGACUUUGGGAUAACUUCAGGAAACUGGGGCUAAUACCGGAUAGGAGCUCCUGCUGCAUGGUGGGGGUUGGAAAGUUUCGGCGGUUGGGGAUGGACUCGCGGCUUAUCAGCUUGUUGGUGGGGUAGUGGCUUACCAAGGCUUUGACGGGUAGCCGGCCUGAGAGGGUGACCGGCAACGUGGGGCCUGAGAUCCGCCCCAGCCUCCGCCGGGGGCAGCAGGGGGGGAUUUUGACAGAGUGGGGGGAGCCUUGUUGCAGCAACGCCCCGGGCGGUAUGACGCCUUUCGGGUGUGAACCCUCUUCCCCCGGUGAAGAGGGGUAAGUGACGUUAAUGGAUAAAGAAACCCCGGCUAACUACGUG
rnacentral:rRNA from 1 species